AGGUGGUGCAUGGUUGUCGUCAGCUCGUGUCGUGAGAUGUUGGGUUAAGUCCCGCAACGAGCGCAACCCUUAUUGUUAGUUGCCAGCAUUAAGUUGGGCACUCUAGCAAGACUGCCGGUGACAAACCGGAGGAAGGUGGGGAUGACGUCAAAUCAUCAUGCCCCUUAUGACCUGGGCUACACACGUGCUACAAUGGACGGUACAACGAGUCGCAAGACCGCGAGGUUUAGCAAAUCUCUUAAAGCCGUUCUCAGUUCGGAUUGUAGGCUGCAACUCGCCUACAUGAAGUCGGAAUCGCUAGUAAUCGCGGAUCAGCAUGCCGCGGUGAAUACGUUCCCGGGCCUUGUACACACCGCCCGUCACACCAUGAGAGUUUGUAACACCCAAAGCCGGUGGGGUAACCUUUUGGAGCCAGCCGUCUAAGGUGGGACAGAUGAUUAGGGUGAAGUCGUAACAAGGUAGCCGUAGGAGAACCUGCGGCUGGAUCACCUCCUUUCUAAGGA
rnacentral:rRNA from 1 species